UUGGCCUAAUUGAACGGGUCGGAAACUCAAAUGCUAGGCUUAACUCCUUUGAAAACAGGACACAUUAGGAGAAAUACUGCCUCAAACAGCUGGCUGAAGCAGCACCUUAGCUGCCAAUUUGGACCACUUGGCCUGUCAUCAAAGCCCACAAGAGCCAUAUAUGUCUCACGCUCCAGCUUCAUAAGUGAGGCAGUUUCUGUGUAACGAGCUGUUACAAGUUGCACGAGCAAUGCAUAUGAUCAUUUUUGCAACUCUGAUAUUUUGCGUUCUGCAAACUGAAAUAUGCGGAUACAGAUUUCAGUCGACUUUUGGAAAGAAGUUUGAGGACUUGCAAGGCUUAAAUGGUGGGCUUAGGGCAAGGACUGCACGUCACGAGGAAGGUGCAGGUUUUGAGCCUGGGAACCUGAAAUGGCCAAUAGAAGAGAUGAUAAAUACAUCGCGUAAUGUUGCCGCGCGUCACGGACAUCUACAAGUACAGACUAGCAACACACAAAUCUCAAAAGCCGCCACCAUUAACAAUGUUCGACAGAAUCAAGCUAAAUCGUCUUGGAUCAAUUUCUUACAACGAAGACAGUCGGAAAUCAUGUCGAUCUUUCCAAUAAAAACGAACGAGGAACACGGGAUGUGUCACGCGGUACCGUUCUCACAGAGGGUUCGUCAUGAAGACUGCGAAACUCUGGUGCUUGGGAACAACUUUUGCUUUGGAAAAUGCAAUGCGUCAAUCCCCGAUGUAGGCCGUGCGUCUUGCGCGCAAUGCUCACCUGUCACAUUUACACGCAAAUCUGUGCAGCUGAAAUGUAAAGAUAACACGCACAUAUUUACGGUAGUAAAGGUGGUAGAGGACUGUCAUUGCGCGCUGAAGAAUGAAAGGUAUUCGCAGGACACUCAUUCCCUGUUUGAUCCUAUGGGAAACUAGUCAUGCUUCAAUAGGCUGUUAUAUUUCCUUUGAGUGAUAUGUGCUUCCCUUUCGUGGAAAAAAUCUAUAAUUUGCUUUCUUUUGAGACCGCAAGAAAUACAGCAAAUAUUGCGUUUUUACGCAUUACAUCAGACAAUAUUUUGUAGUAGACCUAUGCUAGUGGAUUUACCUAGCCUUUUCUUACAUAAUCUAUUUCAAUGAGUUUGUAUCAGUGGUAGCCUAAACAGUAGGUUUAUUCAGUACAUGGUCCCAGACAUUUUUUUAUUGAGAUUAAGAAGCCUUGAUUCCACGGUUUCAAAUUUGUUUUGAAAUAGCGCCAUCCAAUGGCUGUCCGUAUAGAUGCAGCAAUGAAAUAAAAUGGUUCCCCUUGUCAUGCACUACAAUGGUGCCCUCUUGUGCCCAAGGUUGUAUUCACAGCAUGUACAGGACUGUACCUUCUCUUCAAAUUCAUACUUCACACUCAUUACAUCUAAAGCUGUCUGCAUAAGAUAUUGUUUUUGUAACAUAACAGGUAGGGAAAACUGAGAUUAAUAUACAAUUGGAAGUAAAUAAACACCAAGACAGUAAAUCAUUUUGAAUGUUGGCAGUUUUAUUGCAUAUAAGUAAAAUACUAAAAUUAUUAAAUGUUUCACAUUACAAAUAUUUGUCUAGAAAACGGGAUAAAUUAUGAAAAUAAAUAUUGUUGUGCAACU